rnacentral:sRNA from 10 species
GAAAGUUUGUGGAUUUCAAGUAAUCAAGCAAUCAAAGGUGGUGAAUCCUCCGAUAAAGGCAAGGAAAUUGUACCCGAGGAUCGAUAGUCGGAGUACUCUAAAAAUUCGACUUCCGAAAUACUUGCUGCAAUGGGCGAGUUCUGUGGACCAACCUAUUAGAGGGGCACGAAAUCUGGUUAUAGACAUACCUCGGUCAGAGAGGCGCGUAGGGUAUCUCUUGAGGUAUGGUUAGAGUUCACGUCACGUCGAACCACCUAGUG